rnacentral:snoRNA from 1 species
AAGUUCAUACAAUUAGGGAUCAUUUGUGUAAUGUGUACUUAAAAGGGUCAUCAAAUUAUGAUGAAACCCCAACUACGAUGACGAGUUCUUAGGAUACAUUUUGAGCAUGAAGCUUGGUUCGUUGUAUCUUCGGAUGUUGCGAACUAUUGAGGGAUAUUCUGGGAUUUGCAAUUGGAAUUCUUUGGGGAAGUAAUCUUAGGCUGAGUAGG